ensembl:lncRNA
UUUAAAAAUAUGUUUUGUUAAUAUCACAGUUUACUUACAGUAUGUGACUUUACUUCCACCUUGAUACACUACCUCAUAUUUCCUCUCUCUGCUUCCUGAUUUCUGCUACCCUCUUCCUGUAGUCUGUCAACAUCUGUUCCUCUCAGACCAUUUGCAAACCCACAUGAUAAUUGCAAUAAUUCAAUAAUAUCUUAAAUAUACUUUUGCAAUUACCAGCGGUUCCUGCCAGUUAGGCCCAACCUAAUCUGGAAUACCCAGAACAAAAUCUUGCAUGAACAUAACUCUCAUAACCUCUGUGCUCCCGACAGACGUAACAUGUUGGUUACAGAUCUUAGGACAGAUAUGCCCACCCAGAUCAGUCUUAUCUACACCUGCAAUUGGAGCACAUUACAAACCUAUGACAGCUAUAGGUAUGAUAGUGUAUAUGAAAAUGAUGCACCAUCACAGAAGGGUCAUAGGUGGGAGCUAUUGUUUCACCAUAAAAGGAGAGAGGGGAGACACAAAAUACAGUGUGUCACUCUCACACUCACUACUGUGGCAUUGCCUGAGUCAUUAUCUACAGCCAACAGCUCCUGUGUAUAUUUCUAAAAACAUUUUCGAGAGCAUGUGAAUAUAGUCGCCCCCGAAAGCAUUUCUCAUUUCCAUAUAUCCUGUUUCACAUCUCUCUCUGUAUUAUACAUAAUAACAGGUGGCAGGUUUAAAGAACUCUUAACCGUGAUCCAAUGAAUGUGCUGCUGGUGCCUUAUGUUUAACAGAUGCAGGAACAAGGAGAAACAGACAAACACUUGGAUUACCCAGAAGAAGCACCAGAUCUCAGUAAGCCUGAAGUUUGUGAAGGGGUUGAGCUGAGCAGUGAGUCCUCUGCCCUUGUAAAGUGUCAGCAGUGUUUGUUCUAUGUGGAUUCUAAACUCAAGGAGCUUGGUCGAUCAAAUGCCAGCCACAACCAUUGCUCCCUCCAAGUAAAGGGGUCAGAGCUGCCUGGGUGGAAGCCCAGAGGGCUGUGGUCAAAGGUCACCGUCCAGUGUCAUUAUGAAGAAGAGAAGAAGAAAAGGCAAUACCAUGACAUAAUUAUGUUUUUAUGUAGCUGCCUCACACUUUUCCUCCACUUUGCCACCAUAGUGCUUUUUUGGUUUUCUGUGCAUAAACAGUACAGUGGGCUGGCACACAACAUAUAAGCAUGUUAUAAAUGAGUAACCGUUGGAAUUGUGGUUUAUUGAAAGGAUUUGAUGAUUUGAUGUUUCCUUUCAAAUAGUCAUUUGUCCUCAUCCCUUUGUUACAAUAACAGGAAGGUGAAGAUGAUUUGUGCUAUGCCACCUUGUCCCAUGCUGGUGCUCCUCCAUCCUACUCAGUCAAGUUUGAACAAGGCCAUGACUAGGCCACAGUGGUCAUAUACUGACCAGCAUUGCCGAACUGAAUGGACAUGAAAGGACUUCCAAAUGGAUAGAUUGCUUGACUUAAACACCUACAUUUCAAUUUUCUUUCCAAGAAAUCAUUUGCAUAAAUCUAUUUGCAAUGUAGUUUUGAUUAUCCAAUUUGUCACAUUAAGAGAACAAUAAAGUUUUUGUAUUCCACCAUCGGCUUAAUUUCUGUUUGUCUCGUGUGCACCUGUCAGUCCCAGUCGCGGGA